GAUGAACGCUAGCUACAGGCUUAACACAUGCAAGUCGAGGGGCAGCGGGAUUGAAGCUUGCUUCAAUUGCCGGCGACCGGCGCACGGGUGAGUAACGCGUAUCCAACCUUCCGUACACUCAGGGAUAGCCUUUCGAAAGAAAGAUUAAUACCUGAUGGUAUGAUGAGAUCGCAUGGUAUCAUCAUUAAAGAUUUAUCGGUGUACGAUGGGGAUGCGUUCCAUUAGGUAGUAGGCGGGGUAACGGCCCACCUAGCCUACGAUGGAUAGGGGUUCUGAGAGGAAGGUCCCCCACAUUGGAACUGAGACACGGUCCAAACUCCUACGGGAGGCAGCAGUGAGGAAUAUUGGUCAAUGGGCAGAGCCUGAACCNGCCAAGUAGCGUGAAGGAUGACUGCCCUAUGGGUUGUAAACCUUCUUUUAUAAAGGAUAAAGUCGGGUAUGUAUACCCGUUUGCAUGUACUUUAUGAAUAAGGAUCGGCUAACUCCGUGCCAGCAGCCG
rnacentral:rRNA from 1 species